GGGCGUGUAACUCAGCUGGCAGAGCACUCGGUGGUUUGUCAGUAACUAUCCGAGAGGUAGAGGGUUCGAAUCCCUCCACGCCCA
rnacentral:tRNA from 1 species